UACGUAGGUGGCAAGCGUUGUCCGGAUUUACUGGGCGUAAAGAGCGCGCAGGCGGUCAGAUAAGUCGAAUGUGAAAGCCCCCGGCUCAACUGGGGAGGGUCAUUCGAUACUGUUCGACUCGAAGGCAGGAGAGGGAAGUGGAAUUCCCGGUGUAGCGGUGAAAUGCGCAGAUAUCGGGAAGAACACCCGUGGCGAAGGCGGUUGCCUGGAGCUUUGCUGACGCUGAGGCGCGAAAGCGUGGGGAGCGAUCCGG
rnacentral:rRNA from 1 species